AAAUUGAAGAGUUUGAUCAUGGCUCAGAUUGAACGCUGGCGGCAGGCCUAACACAUGCAAGUCGAACGGUAACAGGAAACAGCUUGCUGUUUCGCUGACGAGUGGCGGACGGGUGAGUAAUGUCUGGGAAACUGCCUGAUGGAGGGGGAUAACUACUGGAAACGGUAGCUAAUACCGCAUAAUGUCGCAAGACCAAAGAGGGGGACCUUCGGGCCUCUUGCCAUCGGAUGUGCCCAGAUGGGAUUAGCUAGUAGGUGGGGUAAAGGCUCACCUAGGCGACGAUCCCUAGCUGGUCUGAGAGGAUGACCAGCCACACUGGAACUGAGACACGGUCCAGACUCCUACGGGAGGCAGCAGUGGGGAAUAUUGCACAAUGGGCGCAAGCCUGAUGCAGCCAUGCCGCGUGUAUGAAGAAGGCCUUCGGGUUGUAAAGUACUUUCAGCGGGGAGGAAGGGAGUAAAGUUAAUACCUUUGCUCAUUGACGUUACCCGCAGAAGAAGCACCGGCUAACUCCGUGCCAGCAGCCGCGGUAAUACGGAGGGUGCAAGCGUUAAUCGGAAUUACUGGGCGUAAAGCGCACGCAGGCGGUUUGUUAAGUCAGAUGUGAAAUCCCCGGGCUCAACCUGGGAACUGCAUCUGAUACUGGCAAGCUUGAGUCUCGUAGAGGGGGGUAGAAUUCCAGGUGUAGCGGUGAAAUGCGUAGAGAUCUGGAGGAAUACCGGUGGCGAAGGCGGCCCCCUGGACGAAGACUGACGCUCAGGUGCGAAAGCGUGGGGAGCAAACAGGAUUAGAUACCCUGGUAGUCCACGCCGUAAACGAUGUCGACUUGGAGGUUGUGCCCUUGAGGCGUGGCUUCCGGAGCUAACGCGUUAAGUCGACCGCCUGGGGAGUACGGCCGCAAGGUUAAAACUCAAAUGAAUUGACGGGGGCCCGCACAAGCGGUGGAGCAUGUGGUUUAAUUCGAUGCAACGCGAAGAACCUUACCUGGUCUUGACAUCCACAGAACUUUCCAGAGAUGGAUUGGUGCCUUCGGGAACUGUGAGACAGGUGCUGCAUGGCUGUCGUCAGCUCGUGUUGUGAAAUGUUGGGUUAAGUCCCGCAACGAGCGCAACCCUUAUCCUUUGUUGCCAGCGGUCCGGCCGGGAACUCAAAGGAGACUGCCAGUGAUAAACUGGAGGAAGGUGGGGAUGACGUCAAGUCAUCAUGGCCCUUACGACCAGGGCUACACACGUGCUACAAUGGCGCAUACAAAGAGAAGCGACCUCGCGAGAGCAAGCGGACCUCAUAAAGUGCGUCGUAGUCCGGAUUGGAGUCUGCAACUCGACUCCAUGAAGUCGGAAUCGCUAGUAAUCGUGGAUCAGAAUGCCACGGUGAAUACGUUCCCGGGCCUUGUACACACCGCCCGUCACACCAUGGGAGUGGGUUGCAAAAGAAGUAGGUAGCUUAACCUUCGGGAGGGCGCUUACCACUUUGUGAUUCAUGACUGGGGUGAAGUCGUAACAAGGUAACCGUAGGGGAACCUGCGGUUGGAUCACCUCCUU
rnacentral:rRNA from 1 species